rnacentral:rRNA from 1 species
GAUGAACGCUGGCGGCGUGCCUAAUACAUGCAAGUCGAGCGAAGCGGGGACGGGUGAGUAACACGUGGAUAACAUCCUAUAAGACUGGGAUAACUUCGGGAAACCGGAGCUAAACCGGAUACUUAUCGAUGGAUCCGCGCCGCAUUAGCUAGUUGGUAAGGUAACGGCUUACCAAGGCUACGAUGCGUAGCCGACCUGAGAGGGUGAUCGGCCACACUGGAACUGAGACACGGUCCAACCUCCGACGGGAGGCAGAAGUGGGGAAUCGUCCGCAAGGGGCGAAAGCCUGACGGAGCAACGCCGCGUGAGGGAUGAAGUUCUUCGGAUCGUAAAACUCUGUGAUUAGGGAAGCGGUACCUAAUCAGAAAGCCACGGCUAACUACGUGCCAGCAGCCGCGGUAAUUC